CACGUAGGGGGCGAGCGUUGUCCGGAUUUACUGGGCGUAAAGGGCUCGUAGGUGGCCAACUAAGUCAGACGUGAAAUCCCCAGGCUCAACCUGGGAACUCGCGUCUGAUACUGGAUGGCUUGAAUCCGGGAGAGGGAUGCAGAAUUCCAGGUGGUAGCGGUGAAAUGCGUAGAUAUCUGGAGGAAUACCGGUGGCGAAGGCGGCAUCCUGGACCGGCAUUGACGCUGAGGAGCGAAAGCCAGGGGAGCAAACGGG
rnacentral:rRNA from 1 species